GAUAAACGCUAGCGGCAGGCUUAACACAUGCAAGUCGAGGGGCAGCAUAGAUUGUAGCAAUACAAUUGGUGGCGACCGGCGCACGGGUGCGUAACGCGUAUGCAACCUACCCGUCACAGGGGGAUAAUCCGGAGAAAUCUGGUCUAAUACCCCAUAACAUAUGGAUCGGCAUCGGUUCAUGUUGAAAUUUUCGGAGGUGACGGAUGGGCAUGGGUAGCAUUAGCUUGUUGGUGAGGUAACGGCUCACCAAGGCGACGAUGCUUAGGGGUACGGAGAGUUUGUCGCCCCACAGUGGUACUGAGACCCGGACCAGACUCCGAAGGGAGGCAGCAGUGUAGAAUAUUGGGCAAUGGGCGCAAGCCUGAACCAGCCAUGUCGCGUGCAGGAUGACGGCUCUAUGAGUGGUAAACUGCUUUUGUACGAGGGUAAAGUGUGUUACGUGUAACCUUUUGAAAGUAUCGUACGAAUAAGGAUCGGCUAACUCCGUGCCAGCCGCCGCCGUAA
rnacentral:rRNA from 1 species